UACGUAGGGUGCAAGCGUUUGUCCGGAAUUAUUGGGCGUAAAGAGCUCGUAGGCGGUUUGUCGCGUCUGCUGUGAAAACUCAAGGCUCAACCUUGGGCUUGCAGUGGGUACGGGCAGACUAGAGUGCGGUAGGGGUGACUGGAAUUCCUGGUGUAGCGGUGGAAUGCGCAGAUAUCAGGAGGAACACCGAUGGCGAAGGCAGGUCACUGGGCCGCAACUGACGCUGGAGGAGCGGAAAAGCAUGGGGAGCGAACAGG
rnacentral:rRNA from 1 species